rnacentral:rRNA from 1 species
UAAUACGGAGGGUGCAAGCGUUAUCCGGAUUCACUGGGUUUAAAGGGUGCGUAGGCGGGCAGGUAAGUCAGUGGUGAAAUCCUGGAGCUCAACUCCAGAACUGCCAUUGAUACUAUCUGUCUUGAAUAUUGUGGAGGUAAGCGGAAUAUGUCAUGUAGCGGUGAAAUGCUUAGAUAUGACAUAGAACACCCAUUGCGAAGGCAGCUUACUACGCAUAUAUUGACGCUGAGGCACGAAAGCGUGGGGAUCAAACAGGAUUAGAUACCCUGGUAGUCCACGCCCUAAACGAUGGAUACUCGACAUACGCGAUACACUGUGUGUGUCUGAGCGAAAGCAUUAGGUAUCCCACCUGGGAAGUACGUUCGCAAGAAUGAAACUCAAAGGAAUUGGCGGGGGUCCGCACAAGCGGAGGAGUAUGUGGUUUAAUUCGAUGAUACG